rnacentral:rRNA from 1 species
GACGAACGCUGGCGGCGUGCCUAACACAUGCAAGUCGAGCGGAGUUAUCUUUAGCACUGAGCACUCAUCACGCGUUGAAGAAUGCGUAACAGUGACGCCAAGCGUCAUGCAGAAACAACCUUGAUGUUCAAAUGAACGAGGUUUCUGCAUCACGCACAUCAUAGAAUAACACAAUAGUUGGGGCGUGAAGAGUAGAGUGAGAGUGCUGGGUGCUGAAGAUAACUCAGCGGCGGACGGGUGAGUAACGCGUGGGCAACCUGCCUCAUACAGGGGGAUAACACUGGGAAACUAGUGCUAAUACCGCAUAAAGCGUAACCGAGGCAUCUUGGAUACGCCAAAGGAGCAAUCCGGUAUGAGAUGGGCCCGCGUCCGAUUAGCUAGUUGGUGAGGUAACGGCUCACCAAGGCGACGAUCGGUAGCCGAACUGAGAGGUUGAUCGGCCACAUUGGGA